AUGUUAGUCCACCCCCUGGGGCUGCCUGACACGCGGUGCGCCUACAGUGUGUCCUCAGCAACCUGCCCGCAGUGCCCUGGGUUGGGCCCAGUGCGUGGCAAAUACCCACCCAGAUAUGGGGGGGCCUGCCUGCCGGCUCCAGCGCGCAGCAUGCUGGUGUGCUUGCCCCAGCAGAGACUGAGCUGCACUUCCUACCUGAGUGGGGGGCCACCUGUGCACAUGGCCAGCGCUUCCCUGGGUUUCUCCUUCUGCUGUCCCCCUGAGCUCCAUGCACCAGGUGUGGACGCAGCACCUGCUGGAGCCCCCAGGUCCCAGCUGUCUGCAAGCUCAGGCAAAACCUGGACUCUCUUUCCAGAGCCACAUGCCAACGCACCACCUUUGACACAGCAGUGCCCCACCUGAGAGUCUACCCUAAGGGAAUAACCCUCAAAAACUGAAAAAGCUGGGCGGCCCCAGUGGCUCAGUGGUUUAAGUGCCACCUUCAGCCUGGGGUAUGAUCCUGGAGACCCGGGAUCGAGUCCCGCGUCGGCUCCCUGCAUGGAGCCUGCUUCUCCCUCUUCCUGUGUCUCUGCUCUCUCUCUCUGUUUCUCAUGAAUAAAUAAAUAAAAUCUUAAAACAAAAACUGAAAAAGCUCUUGGAACAAAGUAUUUCUGAAAGCAGGGAACUGGAAGCAGCUGGGGAGCAGCAGCACGCCCAUUGUAAAAGCUAAUUGUGAGCACGAUUGCAACACGGGGAAUCGCUAAAGAUACAGCGUUGAGUGCAAAAUUGCAUUGGGCGGGAGUUCAGCGGUGGAAAAGUUGUAUAUUUGCCCCUACAAGGGCCAGACGGGGAAAAAAAAAAAAGAGAAAAAAAAAAAAGAAAAGAAAACCAGUAUGCCCUUUAUUUUAAAAGGUUUGUGAUUGGGAGUGAUUUCUUUUUCUGAUUUCUGAACUUGUAAUAUUGUUUGUGCAAUAAAUAUUUGAAUGAAUAUUUAAUAAUAGUGAUUUUAUUAGUGCCUUGUUCAGGGAAGGCUGUUGAAGACGCCCAUUCAAGCUCAGGUGUAAAUGAGCACAGGUCCCCGUGUGGGCUGCCUCUGUGGACUAUUUGCAUUUGAAAGAAGCUAAAGUUUCAGACAAACAGUAGCAAUCGGGGCCUCCACAGACCUCCUGGUUUAGGGUCGCCACUUUGUGGGGCAGCCCAAGAAGGGACAGCUUACAGGUAACAGCCUCUGAGCCUCCCCUGCCCUGCACAUUAUGUUGUACAAUAAUAAGGACACCUGUGGGGUCACACGGGGACACUGAGCUGCGGGAAAGGUGUCACGGGUCCGCAGCUAGGAAAGGGCAGGGCUGGGAUCUGAACCCAGGUAGGGUUUAGCUAAGGGCAAGAGCCUCCUCCCCCCUCUGAGAUGGAGAGGUGGCAGGUGCUCUCUGGAGCCUUCUCAGAGGCAGCCUGGAUGGACAAGGACACUUGUUACCGGUCCGACAGGGACGAGGUGUUGCCUCCAGGGAGGAGGGGGGCUGAGCCUG
rnacentral:lncRNA from 1 species